GACGAACGCUGGCGGCGUGCCUAAUACAUGCAAGUCGAGCGGACCACUUCGGUGGUCAGCGGCGGACGGGUGAGUAACACGUGGGCAACCUGCCUGUAAGACUGGGAUAACACCGGGAAACCGGUGCUAAUACCGGACAAUCCUUUCCUUCACAUGAAGGAAAGCUGAAAGACGGUUUCGGCUGUCCCUUACAGAUGGGCCCGCGGCGCAUUAGCUAGUUGGUGAGGUAACGGCUCACCAAGGCAACGAUGCGUAGCCGACCUGAGAGGGUGAUCGGCCACACUGGGACUGAGACACGGCCCAGACUCCUACGGGAGGCAGCAGCAGGGAAUCUUCCGCAAUGGACGAAAGUCUGACGGAGCAACGCCGCGUGAGCGAUGAAGGCCUUCGGGUCGUAAAGCUCUGUUGUCAGGGAAGAACAAGUACUGGAGUAACUGCCGGUACCUUGACGGUACCUGACCAGAAAGCCACGGCUAACUACGUGCCAGCCGCCGCUGUAAAAC
rnacentral:rRNA from 1 species